rnacentral:lncRNA from 1 species
GCGGAGCGUGGAGCGAGUGGCGGCGGGAGCGGCGGGGACAGUCUGGACAAGAGCAUCACGCUGCCCCCCGACGAGAUCUUCCGAAACCUGGAGAACGCCAAGCGCUUCGCCAUUGAUAUAGGUAGACACGGACCCGGUACUCGAGAGGGUGGCCAGAGCAGUGGGCACGGGAGGCCAGCGGGGGCGGCGGGAAGGACGAAGGGCGGGGGUGCGGGCCAUGCGCACAGCCUCACGGGUCGCCGCACAGCCUCUUGGGACUGAUAGUGUGUGUGCAGCGUCUAGGUGCAGGAUCGAGCCGGCGGUCGGACUCCAGCUCCCGGUAGGCGCUGCGCGGUUGGAGCGGGGCACGUCGGGCCUCGUAGUCCGCGCAGUGCGGGUGGAUCGUGAGGGCUCGGUGGAGGGACGGGCGGGGCGGGUGGCCUCGAGGGUCUUGGUCUGCUCAG